GAUGAACGCUGGCGGCGUGCCUAAUACAUGCAAGUCGAGCGAACGGACGAGAAGCUUGCUUCUCUGAUGUUAGCGGCGGACGGGUGAGUAACACGUGGAUAACCUACCUAUAAGACUGGGAUAACUUCGGGAAACCGUAGCUAAUACCGGCUAAUAUUUUGAACCGCAUGGUUCAAAAGUGAAAGACGGUCUUGCUGUCACUUAUAGAUGGAUCCGCGCUGCAUUAGCUAGUUGGUAAGGUAACGGCUUACCAAGGCAACGAUGCAUAGCCGACCUGAGAGGGUGAUCAGCCACACUGGAACUGAGACACGGUCCAGACUCCUACGGGAGGCAGCAGUAGGGAAUCUUCCGCAAUGGGCGAAAGCCUGACGGAGCAACGCCGCGUGAGUGAUGAAGGUCUUCGGAUCGUAAAACUCUGUUAUUAGGGAAGAACAUAUGUGUAAGUAACUGUGCACAUCUUGACGGUACCUAAUCAGAAAGCCACGGCUAACUACGUG
rnacentral:rRNA from 1 species